GAUGAACGCUGGCGGCGUGCCUAAUACAUGCAAGUCGAGCGAAGCGGGGACGGGUGAGUAACACGUGGAUAACCUCCUAUAAGACUGGGAUAACUUCGGGAAACCGGAGCUAAACCGGAUACUUAUAGAUGGAUCCGCGCUGCAUUAGCUAGUUGGUAAGGUAACGGCUUACCAAGGCAACGAUGCAUAGCCGACCUGAGAGGGGUGUCGGCCACCCCUGAACCGAAACCCGGCCCAACUCCCAACGGAGGGCACCAGAAGGGAACUUCGGCCAUUGGGCGAAACCCUAACGGGCCACCCCCCGUUAGUAAGGAAGUUCUCCGAUUCGUAAACCUCUGUGAUAAGGAAAGCGGUACCUAACCAGAAAGCCACGGCUAACUACGUGCCAGCAGCCGCGGUAAUUC
rnacentral:rRNA from 1 species